rnacentral:rRNA from 1 species
GACGAACGCUGGCGGCGUGCUUAACACAUGCAAGUCGAACGGUGAUCCCAGGAGCUUGCUUCUGGGUGAGCAGUGGCGAACGGGUGAGUAACACGUGAGUAACCUGCCCCUGACUCUGGAAUAAGCGCUGGAAACGGCGUCUAAUACCGGAUACGAGACGCAACCGCAUGGUUAGUGUCUGGAAAGUUUUUCGGUCUGGGAUGGACUCGCGGCCUCUCAGCUUGUUGGUGAGGUAAUGGCUCACCAAGGCGAUGACGGGUAGCCGGCCUGAGAGGGCGAUCGGCCUCACUGGGACUGAGACACGGCCCAGACUCCUACGGGAGGCAGCAGUGGGGAAUAUUGCACAAUGGGCGAAAGCCUGAUGCAGCGACGCCGCGUGAGGGAUGACGGCCUUCGGGUUGUAAACCUCUUUCAGCAGGGAAGAAGCGCAAGUGACGGUACCUGCAGAAGAAGCACCGGCUAACUACGUGCCAGCCGCCGCGGUAA